AUGCCAGGGCCUGACUACCUGAGAGGAAUCAAAUCUUCCUUCCUCACACUUUCAUUGUGGGGCUUAAAGGGGCAACCAUUUCCAGUCCUCACACUGCAAACAAUGGUCACUUAUGACCAGCAGACACAAUCAAGAGAACAGCACCAGAUAAGGACCGCUCUCUGUGGCUCCACCCCCACUCCCUGCCAGCCUCCCAAGCUGGUUCUCUUCCGGAUGAGACAAGGCUCUUCUACAGAAGCUGGCUGCAAAAUCAACCUUCAGCUAACAACAAAUGAUUUAUUUCCCCCAGGAAUUCUCGUCACACAACCAGCAACGCUGUACUGCCAGACUUAACCUGGAAAGUAUUACAAUGGCAAAGGUUUCUCUCUGAUCUUAAAAUAACCCUUACCCUAGAAGUUUAUCCUGGUUUCAGCAAGGACACACCCAACCUUCAGAUUUCCACGGGUUGAGCCCAGUUCUGAAGCAUCAGAAUGGUGGUAACCAAUGAAAGGGCCAGGGGGAAGUGGUUGUGAAAGUGAAGGUUCCAUCAACAUCACAGAACAACUGCACAGGGUUUUCUUCCAAAGUCUAUCUAAAUUGGGCUGGGGAUGUAGCUCUGGCACCACCCCUGCUCUGGAGGCCCAAGUUUCUGAGUUCAUUCCCCGGUACUGGGAGGGGGGGGAUAAUUCAGUAGAAAAUCAAAGUCCUUCUAAAUAAAUGGAAAGAUGACCACACCUCGCCCAUCCUUGCUCAGGGGCUUGCAUGUACCACUGCACUGUCCCCUCCCCGUGCAUGCUAGAGCACGCUAACCUGGCACUGCACUCUUUCCACAAACUUCCCAACAAGGCCUCAUGAUCUGCAUCGGCGACCCAAGGCACUAUCUCCAGUUACAAAACUUGGCACGAGAGAAUGAAUCCACAUGCAAACCCUCAGCACCUGCCUACAGGGCACCCAGCAUCCCCUCUUCUCCUCUACCAUGCCCAAGAAAGGAAUUAUCAGUUACUUCUUUUGCCACCAAUGCCAAUGUCUGUUGUAACUUAGACCUACUUAGAUCUACUUGCUGUUUCAAAAAGCAAGUCAAUUAUUUCUAGGAUUAUCACUUCUCUAGGCAUGGAUUCAUUUUAUAACAAAAUGUGUAUUCCACAGCAUUCUUUGGCAUAAAUAUGCUCCUAAAAGCAUAUUUUCACAGUAUCUCAAAAUGCAGACACUGUGAGUAUUUAGAAUUUGCAUUCUGUUUACUCCACUUGUGGAAGGAAAGUUAUCUAUCACUGAUGUGACAGACUGCUCCGGGAACACUGAACAUCCGCCACAUCACUGGAUUCUUGCAUAGAAUACCCAGAGCACCACAAACUGGUCAUUUCUAAGAAACACACGCACAUUUAUAAUCCCCACACCUUUCUAAAGUGAAGAAUUUAUAAUUUUAUGGGGCUAAUUUUAAGAUGCUCCACUGAGGGGUGGGUUUGUUUUCUUUUCAAAAUAAAGCCCUUGCUUAUAAGUUCAACUGAAACAGCAGCAUGAAAUGUCACUUCCUCAGCCCGAGUGGCAUUUGUGCACAGCAGCUGCUGUUGUGUGUACAGCUAACAGGAAGCCCCCUUGGGGUGGUGGUUAC
rnacentral:lncRNA from 1 species